UUUGAAUUGGAUAACGCAAUUAUUAUUUGCUUCUCCUUGAGGUUAUUCUAAAACCUAAGUCAACUG